GGACCCGCACAAGUAGUGGAGCAUGUGGUUUAAUUCGAAGAUACGCGCAGAACCUUACCAACACUUGACAUGUUCGUCGCGACUUUAAGAGAUUAAAGUUUUCGGUUCGGCCGGACGAAACACAGGUGCUGCAUGGCUGUCGUCAGCUCGUGUCGUGAGAUGUUGGUUAAGUCCCGCAACGAGCGCAACCCUCACUUUUAGUUGCCAUCAUUUAGUUGGGCACUCUGAAAGAACUGCCAGUGAUAAGCUGGAGGAAGGUGGGGUAUGACGUCAAGUCCUCAUGGCCCUUACGUGUUGGGCUACACACGUGCUACAAUGGUAGUGACAAUGGGCAGCCACUCCGCGAGGAGGCGCAAA
rnacentral:rRNA from 1 species